CUCCCCCUCCUGCCUCGCUUCCCAUCCCCCUUUCCUCUGCGCCCUUCCCCUCCCCCCGCUGUCAAGUGCCCACCCUUCCCCCUCCCGCAGACGCCGCCACCAAAGUUCGAGCCGCUCCUCCCCAGCCCAGCGCGCGCCCCGCCCCGUGCCCCACGUGCAGCGCCCCCACCAAUGGGCGCACCGCGCGCGCGGACCCGGAUCAGGAAACGCGCGGAGACAAUCUGUUUCGCGUUUUCCUAAGAAAAAUUGGAACCUUCGUAAUAGCAUCUAAUUUGAUGGGGUUGUCGAUGUGAGAGCUAAAUAUGCCCGCGAUUGCAAGAGCGAGAGUCCACCAGACUGUUCUCUAUCUGAUGCGUGUUUCUGGAGCUGAACAGUGGAGUGGCAGAAUUUCAAAAUGCCUGAUGGUAGCAUUUGAAGGCUUACCCUCCAACACCUACACUAGACACAAGAUUUGAGAGGAACAACACUUUACCAGCCAUUUGACCAAUUAAUAGUUUGGGGGUAAUUUUCUUGUAGUAGUUUAAAAUAAUGCACACAACCCAGGGAUGAGGACUGAUAUUCAUAUUGGGAUUACACAUGAAUUUUAACUUGGAUUGUAUGAGAGGCCUGAGGUUCAAAAUCCUCCAAAUAAAGAAGCAAGCACUCUAAAAGCAAUAACUUCUGCGAGUACCCUUUUCUUUUACUUUGAAGACUAACUAAGAGAUAUCUAUGGUUUUUGAAGUUGACAUGUUUCUAAGGUGUGUCACAUGUUUUUAACAAAAAACACAAUAAAAAGGUUUUUCCCAAAGAGACACAUAAUUGUCU